rnacentral:tRNA from 2 species
GGGUCCAUAGCUCAGUGGUAGAGCAAUUGACUGCAGAUCAAUAGGUCACCGGUUCGAAUCCGGUUGGGCCCU